rnacentral:rRNA from 1 species
AUUGAACGCUGGCGGCAUGCUUUACACAUGCAAGUCGAGCGGCAGCGCGGGGGCAACCCUGGCGGCGAGCGGCGAACGGGUGAGUAGCGCAUCGGAACGUAUCCUGUAGUGGGGGAAUAACUCAUCGAAAGGUGAGCUAAUACCGCAUAAGCUCUGAGGAGGAAAGCGGGGGACCGAAAGGCCUCGCGCUGCAGGAGCGGCCGAUGUCCGAUUAGCUAGUUGGUGAGGUAAAGGCUCACCAAGGCGACGAUCGGUAGCUGGUCUGAGAGGAUGAUCAGCCACACUGGGACUGAGACACGGCCCAGACUCCUACGGGAGGCAGCAGUGGGGAAUUUUGGACAAUGGGGGAAACCCUGAUCCAGCCAUGCCGCGUGAGUGAAGAAGGCCU